CCAUGAGUAAGUGGCGCACGGGUGAGUAACACGUGACUAACCUACCCUUGAGUGGGGAUAACCUAGGGAAACCUGGGCUAAUACCGCAUAAUACCUACGGGUCAAAGGAGCAAUUCGCUUUAGGGAGGGGGUCGCGGCAGAUUAGUUAGUUGGCAGGGUAAUGGCCUACCAAGACGAUGAUCUGUAUCCGGCCUGAGAGGGCGCACGGACACACUGGAACUGAAACACGGUCCAG
rnacentral:rRNA from 1 species